UACAGAGGGGGCAAGCGUUGUUCGGAAUUACUGGGCGUAAAGGGCGCGUAGGCGGCCUGCUAAGUCGAACGUGAAAUCCCCGGGCUCAACCCGGGAACUGCGUCCGAGACUGGCAGGCUCGAAUCCGGGAGAGGGAUGUGGAAUUCCAGGUGUAGCGGUGAAAUGCGUAGAUAUCUGGAGGAACACCGGUGGCGAAGGCGGCAUCCUGGACCGGUAUUGACGCUGAGGCGCGAAAGCCAGGGGAGCAAACGGG
rnacentral:rRNA from 1 species